GAUGAACGCUAGCGGCAGGCUUAAUACAUGCAAGUCGAGGGGCAGCGCGGGUAGCAAUACCUGGCGGCGACCGGCAAACGGGUGCGGAACACGUACGCAACCUUCCCAAAACUGGGGAAUAGCCCUCCGAAAGGAGGAUUAAUACCCCGUAACAUAACGAAGUGGCAUCACUUUGUUAUUAUAGUUCCGACGGUUUUGGAUGGGCGUGCGCCUGAUUAGGUAGUUGGCGGGGUAACGGCCCACCAAGCCUGCGAUCAGUAACUGGUGUGAGAGCACGACCAGUCACACGGGCACUGAGACACGGGCCCGACUCCUACGGGAGGCAGCAGUAAGGAAUAUUGGUCAAUGGACGCAAGUCUGAACCAGCCAUGCCGCGUGAAGGAUGAAGGUCCUCUGGAUUGUAAACUUCUUUUAUAUGGGACGAAAAAGGGCAUUCUUGCUCACUUGACGGUACCAUAGGAAUAAGCACCGGCUAACUCCGUG
rnacentral:rRNA from 1 species